rnacentral:rRNA from 1 species
UGCGUAGGCGGGAUAUUAAGUCAGUGGUGAAAUCUUACCGCUUAACGGUGAAAUUGCCAUUGAAACUGAUAUUCUUGAGUGUAGUUGAGGUGGGCGGAAUGUGUAGUGUAGCGGUGAAAUGCUUAGAUAUUACACAGAACGCCGAUUGCGAAGGCAGCUCACUAAACUAUCACUGACGCUGAUGCACGAAAGCGUGGGGAGCGAACAGGAUUAGAUACCCUGGUAGUCC